UGGGGUGUUACAGCCCUGGUCACAUUUUAAAUGAGUGUGUGAGUAUGUCUCUACUGUGUUCUGUGCCUUUAAGAGUCUCUACAGGUCCUCCUUCUGAUUGGGGAGCUGUUUUGGGCUGUUUUUGAUGGUAAGUAGUCUUGUCCACCCCUUCUGAAGAAGAAGGUAUUUAUUUUUUGUAUGUUUUGUCUUGUUAAUUAAAUUAGGGAGGUGUAGUUAGUGAUGGUGUGAUGAAGCCCCAUGAAUGUGUCGAAUCUUCCCGGUUAAUUACUUCAUUAAAAGGCAGAUCACACAAAGCUCAGUUAAACAGCUCGUUUGGAAGUACUGACAUCUGCUGGUCAUUCGAUAUACAGCAGCCAAAUGUGGGCUAAAUACCAGUGGAUAUGUAACCAUGUUGUCAGUAGCAGAUGAGGUCCUGGAUAUAUAUAAAUAUACAUACACACCCCUAACUACCAGACUGAAUUAAGAUUUGUGAUAGUGUUUCAAAAUGCUCCUUAACUCCUGAUACUAUUUGGUGGCUCCAUAAUGUGUUUACAAUCUGGUCGUUACAAUCCUCAGAAUCACCUCAGAUCCAGUUCACAUUAACCAUUAACUUGUUGAUCUUUGGUCACGUGAUAUUCUGAAGGCUGAUGCGGGCCUGGACACGAGCUUCAUUUGCACUCGACACAGGCCUCGGGUCUUCAGUGUCAGACGUAACAUCACAAGGUGUAGUGCUUGUCUUUUGGUUUUUGUUUCACGCAGGGCUUAGGUAGCAUUUCUUUGGAAUACCUUCUUUUGUUUUGUUUUUUUUGUUUGUUUGUUUGUUUUUUCUUUACCUUUGCUCACCCUUGAUUUUAUGCUUUCAGUUUUGGUGGGGACACCCUUGCUUACCAUUGUGUUGCCCUCCUUUGCCCCUAGACAAGGACAUGUCAUGGGGGAAAGAAAUCAUACUGAUGACAUCAAAGUCUCACAAACUCUCAAAAAACUGUAUGUAUCAAAUAUGAUACACUCAGUGUUAAGGAGUUAAGCAUUUUACAUUGAGUCAAGCUAGUGAUUUCUCAUAGAUGGUAAUCUGAAAGCGCUGUCUGAGCCUGCACCUGGGUCUGGUCCUGUUUUCUUGAACCAGACAUGGUCCGAGCCUCUCUGUCAGAGUUUGUAUUACUAGAACCCUUUUCCAGACAAGUGAAAAAAAACAACAACACUUUUGUCCUACAGGAUUAAUAAUAAUGUUUAGUAAUGUUUUGCCCACCAGGGUAGUGAGUUAGUCAUGACUGCAGCCACGAGAUGGCAGUAAUGUAAAGAAUGGAAACAGUCGAGGAGCUUUAUGACGGCACUGACUGAGAAGAAAGGAGAGAGAACACUUUACUUUAAAUGUUUGAAUUUAUCUCUAUUAUUAGAUUUGAUGAGACAAGCACUGCUUUCACUGUUCAUCCUAACAGAAUGCCACUGGAUAAAGGUAUGUUUCUAUUAGUUUUCAUACAGUCACGGACAUUAAGCAUUACCCUUCA
ensembl:lncRNA